GGUUUUGUUCCUCCUGGGCAGAUGGCUCGGAUGCAUUCUUAUAUGCUACAUCCUCAUGGAUGUCGAUGCCGAUGCUUCUCUGGCUGCUACUGAGGAUGGCAGUGAUCCUUUCACCCACCUAAAAUCAAAGACGGGUUGUUCUUCCCAUCGCUUGUUUAUUUAUGCUAUGAAGUAAGCAGGUACAAUGAUCCUCUUUCGCUAAACAUGGGUGUCUGGAACUUAAGGAACAAUAGUGGUGGGAAAGCAGCUGGAGGAAACAAGAAAGCGCAGUAACUACUUUCCUAUGGUACUUGUUGCGUGCUUGUUGCUGAUUGCACACCCUAUGGUGCUUGAUGCCGAUUGCAAUGGCAACGCUUCAUCUCCGCAGGCGAUCCAAGCUGUGCUCGUCAUCUACACUAGUGUUAAAACUAUAUUCAGGCGUGACUAUAUGCAUGCCAUUUGUGUAAUAGAAUAUUUAUAGCAAAUAUCCACUAUAAUUUAUUCUUUCGUGUAGGCACAUGCCUUUUCUCUCUUUAACACAGUACAUUAGUUAAGAAUUUUCAA